AAAGAACUCACAUGUUCUUAAGAGAGAGUAUAGCUAUGUCAUGCCUCCAGACCUACUUCCAGGGUUUCAAGAAAACCUGCCCAAUAAUUCUCUUCAACCUGUAUAAAUGAAGAGCAUGAUCAGAGGAGAUGGCCAGGAAAAUUCCAAGCAAGCAGGGCUUCAAGCAAACAUAGAGGAAGAAACAAGAAUGAGGAAACAGGAUUCAGAAGGUGAAAGAACAGGAGAAAGGCCACACAACCAGAAACCAAAGCAUUCAUGCUAUUUACUUAUCCACUGGACACUUCCUGUUGUUCACACCUAUGUAUGCUUGGCAACUCAUUUUUCAAAAAAGAC
ensembl:lncRNA